rnacentral:lncRNA from 1 species
GCGUUGGAGCACCAAGAAGACAGGCAGCACUGACAGUAGCAGAAGAGUAGGAGGUGGCUGUGGCACCCCACGCCGAGCAGGAGCGGGAGGAGUUCCUGGGCGAUGGGGCCGCAGCCUGGGCCGAUGCUGACCAUGGGAUGAGAUCAUUCUUCACUCUGCACCGUGACCAUCAGGGGGCGCCCCAACCACCUUUUCUGCCCCACAUCGUGCUCUUGCAGUGUUCUCCCCGCAGGUGCUGCAUGGAGUGAGUGGCGGCAUCCACCGUGAGGAGGAGAGGAGCUCUGAUACCCUCAGGACCCGCCAGGAGGGGCAUCACGGAGGCUUCUGGACGACUUGGAGCUGUGUCCUGGGGAGAAAACCGCUCCUGUCUGGGCCCUGAGUGCUGAGGAGGAAGCUGCCAUGCACUUUUCCCUGGCAUUUUUCCUGCAUGGUGAGUACAGAAGCUUUAGUUUUCUGGUAUGUUCUGUUCAUUCCUCUCCUGUUCUCCCUGGUUUUCCUCUUUCUCUUGUAGUGUUUUAGUAUUUAUUUUACAGUGGUAUUCAUUCUCUGAAGGCUUUUGAGGGUGUCAAGACCAGAGUUACCCAGCUGUGGCAUAGAAAACCAAAAUGUGUUUCGCCAAACUCACUGUAACUUUGUUUCCAUAACCGAUCCCUCCCAUCCCCCUCCUAUCCCCCUCCUUCCCCUCU